rfam:Ictidomys tridecemlineatus contig028825, whole genome shotgun sequence.
GGGAUUGUAUCUCAGUGGUAGAGUGCUUGCCUAAAACGUGUGAGGCACUGGGUUCGAUCCUCAGCACCCCCU